AUCCAGGCUCCCCACUUACUAGCUUCACGAUCUUGGACAAGUUACCCUCUCUGCAUCUGUUUCCGCACCUGCAGAAAGGGGACAGCAAUAGGACUGUCAUGAGCACGAGGCAGAUCACUAAACCUAGAUGCUUACGAGGUCUUUGGCACAGAGGCUCCCAUAGAUGCUGCACAUUGUCAUUACUAGCCCAGCAAAGUGCUGGAGAGGACAAGCCCAGGACGGAACCCACAACUGAGACGAACCCUCCACUUUCCCAGAGACGCCUUCUAACCCUGUUGGCCACCCGCCACCCCCCGAAGUCCACGUUUGCCAGGGCUUAUCCCCGAGUGACGACCUCCUACCUCCCCCCAUCGUGCCUCAAACCAUCAGACUGCUUCUCAGCUGCCCUCUUGCUCUCAUGGGAACUUGGCUCUGCUCCGAACUGAGUCCUCGAAGGGACGGUGGUCUCUCCCACAUGGCUCGCAUCCUGAGGCCUGUGGAUGAGGCACCAGACCAAUCACGAGCACAGGACUUAGAGUCUGACAGGCCCGAGUUCAAGUUCCGGCUUGAGCGGUCCCAGCUGUGUGGUCUUAGGCAAGUUACUCAGCUUCUCUGAGCCACGUAGACUCAUUCUGCAAACAUGUGCCGAGUGCCUACUUUACAACGGGGUCACCUUGCUACGCCUGUCCUAAGGAUUAUAGAAGAUAACGUAGGCCAUGUCUCUAGAACCAAGCCCAGCUAAUUAUGAUUAAGUACUCAAUCAUCUGGUGCCGUUUAUUCUUCACGUUUCGUCAUGAUAUGGUCUCAGGGCCUAUUUAUAAUCAUCCGUGUUUACAAUCUGGAUUUUCUCAUUGGUCAAAAACUAUUUAGGGCCAGGGCACCCGGCUGACUCAGUCUCUGGAGCGUUGAGACUCUUGAUCUCGGGGUUGUGGGUUCUAGCACCACGUUGGGUGUAGAGAUU